AAGAGAAAUGCAUCCCGGAUCCUGGUUGUUAAAGUACCGUAGAUGCAAAACAAAAAAAAACUCAUAGGGACUUCGUCCUCACUUACAAAACUAUUGAAAGCCAUAAUAACCUUGUGUAGGGUUCUUUGAGUCCAAUAUGACAAGAUUGGUGUGUAUGACUGAGUAUAAGAAAGAGAAAUGCAACCCGGAUCCUAGUUGUUAAAGUAGCGUAGAUGCAAAACAAAAAAACUCAUAGGGACUUCGUCCUCCCUUACCAAACUUGGGGAAGCCAUAAUAAGCUUGUGUAGGCUUCUUGGAGUCCAAUAUGACAAGAUUGGUGUGUAUGACUGAGUAUGAGAAAGAGAAAUGCAACCCGGAUCCUGGUUUUUAAAGUACCGUAGAUGCAAAACAAAAAAAAACUCAUAGGGACUUCGUCCUCACUUACAAAACUUGUGAAAGCCAUAAUAAGCUUGUGUAGGGUUCUUGGAGUCCAAUAUGACAAGACUGGUGU
rnacentral:lncRNA from 1 species